rnacentral:lncRNA from 1 species
GUGGAUUGGUUGCGUAUGCUCCAAUUUGAUUGGUUAUCAGGCUGGCAAUAUGGCUUGUAUAAUUCAGAUUACAUGGCAGUGCCAUCAUGCUCCAAUUGGUUUUCAUAGAUCUUGCGUGGCUUACCUCUUUCAUCCUUGGUUUUAUGUACAACAUUCUUCUUACUUUGUCUUAUAUACAGGAGCCAUUCUGGGAAUCUUUUUAGCAUCUCUUUUAUUGAUACAUAUAGGUUUUGUAUUAUCUUUCCUUCAG